AUCCAAGCUUUUACAAGCUCAUAUUUUUAUUUAAAUGUUAUUGCGAUUUACCUUUCUCACUCACAUCAGCAGCUGAAGCAGGGCUGCUUUGUUACAGCAAAACUCAUAUUUAUCAAAGAAUCUGGAAAAACUGUGUAUUUAUGAACUUUACUCAUAAUUCAGCCGACAAAACUAAAUGAAAUGAAUCAAUGUGAACUGAACGAGAGCUGCCACAGGACAGAGAUGUGCUGAAAUACAACAGAGAAUAUGACAAUAAUAUAUCAAUAAUUUAUCUCAAUUACAUCUCUGGAAGCCAAACUUGUUUAAAUUAAAAUUCUAAACUCAAAGUAACAAAAUGUCCAAUUUACAGCGAACGCCUUGUCUGUAUGUGACACAGGGCUGAAGAUAUACCACGGGCCUUGAACGCAGCACAAGAGCUCUCAUCAGGUAAGCACAGGAAGACACCUGGACUGUGUUUAAUGUGGCGUCUGUAUCGAUGCUGCAGGAAGCAGCUUCAACUCUGAGGAGAAUCUGUUUGAAAGGGUCACAACAAACUCAGAAAAGGUUUCAAUUUUUUGUUCAACAUCAGGAACCAGGAAGUCCAGGAAGAGCAAGUUCUAGUUAUGGGGAGCUCUUCCUCUGAGGAGGAGGAGCUAGUAUCAAACACGUUUCUCAGCUCAGUGAACUGACACAGAUCUGCUCAACCUCACAGGUUUAACAUGAAGUCGACAAACAGAUGCUGCGUUUGAUGUUAUUGAUGCUUUUGGACCAAUAAAACAGUUUUUCACACCUGCACUCGGAGCGAUCCGAUUGGUCAGUAGGUGAGUUGUCUGGUCUUGAACGCGACCGUCUUCAGCGCAGGUUAGGGCAGUGGCGGCGCUCUGCCUGAACCUCAGAGUCGGCACGACGGCCUCCUGAGAGGCAGGACUUCUCACCCUCUGUAUGUCGCGCUGAUGAGCCGGCGCGCUGACGGCGGUUUCAGCAGAAACACUGAAACCUUAAACAGACUGUACGAUGUGAUGGCCGACCUGCUGCAGACAUGAACUCCACCUGGUUCCUGUGAGCUGGAGGUAAACACUGUGGACAGCCUUCCCGGACGUCCUGCUGGGAAUAACUAAGGAAACGAGGAGCAUGGACACGUUCACUUUCAGAGAUUAUUCAAAUAUUUCAUUCCACAAAGGCUUUAAAAUCUGAUCCUAAAACAGACUCGCUGACUUGCAUUGUAUUUGUCAUGAACUCAGUUAUUUUUCUUCUUUUAAAAGCUGCGUCCUGAAAUCUGUCAGAUCUGAUAGUUUAACACAGUCUCACAGGUGGAGGCAGUUUUUUAUACUUAUACGUACAUUUCAAGCGCUCAGGUGGGUCUCAGGAGUUUUACCAGGAUCGCUGAUUUGAGAGACUUGACCUGAGAAAAUGUGCUCAGCUGAUCUGAGGUCAGUGAACUGUCUGAAUAAUAAACCAGGGGCGGAGACCUGUCAAUCACAGACUGACCCGCCCACAUUCAAAACACUAAGAUGGAGAAAACGCUCCACUCACGGUGUGAUGUCACAGAUGUGUCUUAUUUUACUAAACAUGUAGUCACCAUGGUUACCAGCCCAUCAGCAUAUACUGCCCUCUGGUGGCAUAUCUGUGCACUGCACACUGUGUGAUGUCCUGAUAUUACCUGUCACCUCAUCAGUAUUUUUUGUUUUGACUUUUUUAGCCUCACUGAGUCAAAAUAAAACUUUUAGUUUUCA